rnacentral:miRNA from 1 species
CUCGGGAAGCUAGCUGGCCUU